rnacentral:lncRNA from 1 species
CUUAUAUAUAUCUUUGCUUAGUUUGCUAAUUAAAUAAAUAAAUAAAGUUUGCUAUGAACCCUCAUGAUAAGCUCUCACAUGGAAAUGAUGAAUAAUUGCUCUGCCAUGGCUAGUUCUCAAAAUUAAAAUAUCUCUCAAGUUUAGGCAUGACUGGUAUUAAUUAAGAUUUGAUCUAAACCUGAACUUGUGGGGAGAGUACUUGAUCUAAAGUCUAAGUCGUUAACGGAUAUGAUAUGGGAAGGUUGAGCUGCUGUUUAUCUGUUCCUAGAGAUGCUAGAAUUCUGAAGAAUUUUAUCUUUGAAAAUCUUUAAAAUAACACAUGAUGAGUUCCUGUAUGAUGAGAGUUUAAAUCCCUACCACAGCCAUAUAUACAUGCUUGCUAAACUUUGAGCCACACAUUUACUUUUUACUCCUUAUGAGCAUUGAGUGUGGUCAAGCUGUGUAGACCCUUAGGAGCUUGUCAUGUGGUUAAAUCAAGAUUCACUUGCACGUUCACUCACACAUGCUGCUUCUACUGCGGAAGUAUGCAUCCACAUAUAUCCAUCCAUUUCCAUCUCUAGAACCACCCAAAAAUAUUCUACUCCUAAUCCGGGAGAGAAUAGCCAAAAACAUUCUCCUAUUCCUGUUUUUUCUUGUGAAAUAAAUGCUCAAGAUAUUUUGGUUACUACCACUUGCUACAUUAUUCUAGGAGGAUGAGUGCUCUGAAAAAAGUGAAUACGUGGAAAUAAAAAGGGGCAAGUGCCCGGAACCUCGAAGAAAAGAAAAAGUGAGACGAGAGGUAAAAAUAGACAAGUGUCCGACAGUAGAAUUAGGGGUACAAGAUACCCACCUGAGAGAAAAGAAAAAAAGAAGAAAGAAAAUAUAGAGCAUCUGAUUCCCCUCAAAAAAAACUUCAAAGUGCAAGAAAGGUAUGUAUCCCCUCAAAAGAGCAAACGUAGAAUUAGACUUUCACCAUUGUUAUCACCAUUCAUUCGCCACACAUGCACAUCUUGAUUUGACUUAUUGACUUGUUCUUCUGGAUCCAUGGUUUGACUAUGCAAUAAAUGUCUUGUAAGUAUGUAUUAGCUAUCUCCCACCUAUGAGCUCCAGAUAUCAAACGCCUUAUUAGAGUGGGGUGAGAGAGAAGGCAAUGUCACUAUGCCUCAUACCAAAAAUACCACAUACUUUGAGAGAAGGCAUAUAUUAUCACUGCCUUGGUAAGGAUCUAGAAAUACCACAAAAGAGAGACUAGAGACAGUCAUACAAGGAAUCUCUGAGUUUUAUUUGAAAAUCUGCAAAAAAACUCCAGAGCUAUAGUUAAUCGAAGAACAAGAGACAUGGCGCUUGACUAGACCAUUCUAUCUUUUAACUGCUCAAGACACAAGUGAUGGUUACAAGCCCCAUGGUGGAAGGUAAUAUGAGUAAGUUUAAAUCUUAACAGUUUACCCUAACCCAGAGAUGAGAUCUUGCUCGAACGCAUGUAUAUCUUUAAGGCAUGAAACCACUGCAGAAACUCUUGAGUUCAUCUUUGCUCAGGGACGAGCAAAGGUUAAGCUUG